AACGUAGGAGGCGAACGUUAUUCGGAUUUACUGGGCGUAAAGGGAGCGUAGGCGGUUCCUUAAGUCAGAUGUGAAAUCUUCUGGCUCAAUCAGAAGGCGUCAUUUGAUACUGAGGGACUUGAGAGCAGCAGAGGGAAAUGGAAUCCCCGGUGUAGCGGUGAAAUGCGUAGAUAUCGGGGAGAACACCAGUGGCGAAGGCGAUUUCCCAGGUUGUUUCUGACGCUGAGGCUCGAAAGCGUGGGGAGCGAAGCGG
rnacentral:misc_RNA from 1 species